AGUGAACGCUGGCGGUAGGCCUAACACAUGCAAGUCGAACGGCAGCACAGUAAGAGCUUGCUCUUACGGGUGGCGAGUGGCGGACGGGUGAGGAAUACAUCGGAAUCUACUUUUUCGUGGGGGAUAACGUAGGGAAACUUACGCUAAUACCGCAUACGACCUACGGGUGAAAGCAGGGGAUCUUCGGACCUUGCGCGAUUGAAUGAGCCGAUGUCGGAUUAGCUAGUUGGCGGGGUAAAGGCCCACCAAGGCGACGAUCCGUAGCUGGUCGGAGAGGAUGAUCAGCCACACUGGAACUGAGACACGGUCCAGACUCCUACGGGAGGCAGCAGUGGGGAAUAUUGGACAAUGGGCGCAAGCCUGGUCCAGCCAUACCGCGUGGGUGAAAAAGGCCUUCGGGUUGUAAAGCCCUUUUGUUGGGAAAGAAAAGCAGCAGGUUAAUACCCCGCUGUUCUGACGGUACCCAAAGAAUAAGCACCGGCUAACUUCGUG
rnacentral:rRNA from 1 species